GGAGUUGUGGCUCAAUGGUAGAGCACUUGCCUAGCAUGUAUGAGGCACUGGGUUUCAUUCUCAGCACCA
rnacentral:tRNA from 1 species